GGGUUGUGAGGUUAAGCGACUAAGCGUACACGGUGGAUGCCCUGGCAGUCAGAGGCGAUGAAGGACGUGCUAAUCUGCGAAAAGCGUCGGUAAGGUGAUAUGAACCGUUAUAACCGGCGAUGUCCGAAUGGGGAAACCCAGUGCAAUUCGUUGCACUAUCGUUAACUGAAUACAUAGGUUAACGAGGCGAACCGGGGGAACUGAAACAUCUAAGUACCCCGAGGAAAAGAAAUCAACCGAGAUUCCCCCAGUAGCGGCGAGCGAACGGGGAGCAGCCCAGAGUCUGAAUCAGCUUGUGUGUUAGUGGAACGGUCUGGAAAGUCCGACGGUACAGGGUGAUAGUCCCGUACACCAAAAUGCACAGGUUGUGAACUCGAAGAGUAGGGCGGGACACGUGGUAUCCUGUCUGAAUAUGGGGGGACCAUCCUCCAAGGCUAAAUACUCCUGACUGACCGAUAGUGAACCAGUACCGUGAGGGAAAGGCGAAAAGAACCCCGGCGAGGGGAGUGAAAAAGAACCUGAAACCGUGUACGUACAAGCAGUGGGAGCACCUUCGGGUGUGACUGCGUACCUUUUGUAUAAUGGGUCAGCGACUUAUAUUCUGUAGCAAGGUUAACCGUAUAGGGGAGCCGCAGGGAAACCGAGUCUUAACUGGGCGUUAAGUUGCAGGGUAUAGACCCGAAACCCGGUGAUCUAGCCAUGGGCAGGUUGAAGGUUGGGUAACACUAACUGGAGGACCGAACCGACUAAUGUUGAAAAAUUAGCGGAUGACUUGUGGCUGGGGGUGAAAGGCCAAUCAAACCGGGAGAUAGCUGGUUCUCCCCGAAAGCUAUUUAGGUAGCGCCUCGUGAACUCAUCUUCGGGGGUAGAGCACUGUUUCGGCUAGGGGGUCAUCCCGACUUACCAACCCGAUGCAAACUACGAAUACCGAAGAAUGUUAUCACGGGAGACACACGGCGGGUGCUAACGUCCGUCGUGAAGAGGGAAACAACCCAGACCGCCAGCUAAGGUCCCAAAGUCAUGGUUAAGUGGGAAACGAUGUGGGAAGGCACAGACAGCCAGGAUGUUGGCUUAGAAGCAGCCAUCAUUUAAAGAAAGCGUAAUAGCUCACUGGUCGAGUCGGCCUGCGCGGAAGAUGUAACGGGGCUAAACCAUGCACCGAAGCUGCGGCAGCGACACUAUGUGUUGUUGGGUAGGGGAGCGUUCUGUAAGCCUGCGAAGGUGUGCUGUGAGGCAUGCUGGAGGUAUCAGAAGUGCGAAUGCUGACAUAAGUAACGAUAAAGCGGGUGAAAAGCCCGCUCGCCGGAAGACCAAGGGUUCCUGUCCAACGUUAAUCGGGGCAGGGUGAGUCGACCCCUAAGGCGAGGCCGAAAGGCGUAGUCGAUGGGAAACAGGUUAAUAUUCCUGUACUUGGUGUUACUGCGAAGGGGGGACGGAGAAGGCUAUGUUAGCCGGGCGACGGUUGUCCCGGUUUAAGCAUGUAGGCUGAUUGUCCAGGCAAAUCCGGAUAAUCAAGGCUGAGGUGUGAUGACGAGGCACUACGGUGCUGAAGUAACAAAUGCCCUGCUUCCAGGAAAAGCCUCUAAGCAUCAGGUAACAUUAAAUCGUACCCCAAACCGACACAGGUGGUCAGGUAGAGAAUACCAAGGCGCUUGAGAGAACUCGGGUGAAGGAACUAGGCAAAAUGGUGCCGUAACUUCGGGAGAAGGCACGCUGGUGUGUAGGUGAAGUCCCUGCGGAUGGAGCUGAGACCAGUCGAAGAUACCAGCUGGCUGCAACUGUUUAUUAAAAACACAGCACUGUGCAAACACGAAAGUGGACGUAUACGGUGUGACGCCUGCCCGGUGCCGGAAGGUUAAUUGAUGGGGUUAUCCGUAAGGAGAAGCUCUUGAUCGAAGCCCCGGUAAACGGCGGCCGUAACUAUAACGGUCCUAAGGUAGCGAAAUUCCUUGUCGGGUAAGUUCCGACCUGCACGAAUGGCGUAAUGAUGGCCAGGCUGUCUCCACCCGAGACUCAGUGAAAUUGAACUCGCUGUGAAGAUGCAGUGUACCCGCGGCAAGACGGAAAGACCCCGUGAACCUUUACUAUAGCUUGACACUGAACAUUGAGCCUUGAUGUGUAGGAUAGGUGGGAGGCUUUGAAGCGUGGACGCCAGUCUGCGUGGAGCCAACCUUGAAAUACCACCCUUUAAUGUUUGAUGUUCUAACGUUGGCCCCUGACCGGGGUUGCGGACAGUGUCUGGUGGGUAGUUUGACUGGGGCGGUCUCCUCCCAAAGCGUAACGGAGGAGCACGAAGGUUAGCUAAUCCUGGUCGGACAUCAGGAGGUUAGUGCAAUGGCAUAAGCUAGCUUGACUGCGAGCGUGACGGCGCGAGCAGGUGCGAAAGCAGGUCAUAGUGAUCCGGUGGUUCUGAAUGGAAGGGCCAUCGCUCAACGGAUAAAAGGUACUCCGGGGAUAACAGGCUGAUACCGCCCAAGAGUUCAUAUCAACGGCGGUGUUUGGCACCUCGAUGUCGGCUCAUCACAUCCUGGGGCUGAAGUAGGUCCCAAGGGUAUGGCUGUUCGCCAUUUAAAGUGGUACGCGAGCUGGGUUUAGAACGUCGUGAGACAGUUCGGUCCCUAUCUGCCGUGGGCGCUGGAGAAUUGAGGGGGGCUGCUCCUAGUACGAGAGGACCGGAGUGGACGCAUCACUGGUGUUCGGGUUGUCAUGCCAAUGGCACUGCCCGGUAGCUAAAUGCGGAAGAGAUAAGUGCUGAAAGCAUCUAAGCACGAAACUUGCCCCGAGAUGAGUUCUCCCUGAGACUAUAAGUCUCCUGAAGGAACGUUAAAGACGAUGACGUUGAUAGGCCGGGUGUGUAAGCGCAGCGAUGCGUUGAGCUAACCGGUACUAAUGAACCGUGAGGCUUAACCUUACAACGCCGAAG
rnacentral:rRNA from 1 species